AGGCUAGAGUACAGCGAUGGGAUCUUGGCUUGCUGCAACCUCAGCCUCCUGGGUUCAAGAGAUUCUCCUGCCUCAGUCUCCCAAGUAGCUGGGAUUAUAGGCGCAUGCCAACAUGCCAGAUAAUUUUCAUAUUUUUUAUACAGACAGGGUUUCACCAUGUUGGCCAGGCUGGUUUCGAACUCCUGACCUUAAGUAGUCCACUCGAGGGCAGGACCCCAGCCUCCCAAAGUGCUGGGAUUAGAGGCGUGAGCCACUGUGCUUAGCCUGAGGACUUCUUGAUGGUUUAUAUUCUCAUUGACACCGCUGCAAAUUUCUGGUUUCCAAGUACUUAAAAAAUAAUUUUCCAUUAAUUAAAAACAUUGUUACUCCAGCUGCCUUGUGUGACAAAUUCGCUGAGCAAACAUCAUCUCACAGAAGCCUGAAAGUAAAGCUCUGUCCAACUGAUAACUUUCACCCUACGAGGUAACAGGGCCUUAUUCUAUUUAUUUCCAUUCUUUGUCUUGGUGUCUAGCUUAGAUCAUUUGUGUCAAAAGUCAUUUUCUGGUUCCCUAUUGAUUUUCCCAAUAAGUGCACCUCUUUUCAGCAACACGAUUGAAAUAUCUGGCUUUAUUUUAGGAACACACAGGACAGUAGGUUAAAUGUGAAAGCCACAUGAAAUCCUAACAGCUGUUGUUUUAGGCGUUAGGAUUUAUGUAUUACCUCCUGUAAACCCUUUUAAAUGAGAACUUCUACUAUUAUCUGUUAGGGAUAUCAAUGAUUAGAAAAAUGGCCAAGAUUGGCAAUGGGAAAAAUGGGAGGCGGAUGCUUGGGUAUCAUCUGAAUUGAAGAAUGAGUCCUCACCUGAAGUGAAUGAAUGAUUGAAGCUCUUUUCUGAUAUACACUCAGUGUUUUUCAGAACUUGAGCUGCAGACCACCUAUAUCAGAGUUUCUAAAGGGCUUAAAACAAUACAGAUUUUAACAAGGGCUACAGGAAACUAUAUUAAUAAAUGGUUCCCCAAUAACACACACACACACACACCCCUUCUCUCUGGGGUUGUUCUACACCUGACCCUGGAGGAACACGUUAUUGGAGUUCAUUAGGCAAUAUCCUAUCUGCUUCCAUUUCUAUGUUAGUUGCCCCAAAUCUCAAGGACUAAAGUCCCAUAAUUGUAAAUGUGAGAGAAGAAAUGAUACAGGUGGAGUUCCUCAUUGCUCCCAAAAAGCAAACAAUCCGUAAAGUAAAAAUUAGUAAAAUUUGUCUAAACUUAUGUAGGAAGUAGCAUGAAAAUAAGGAUAUUAGGUAAAUUUUUGUAUACAGCAUCAUACAGAAUUUUCCUAAUUCUAUAAAAUAAGCAUAUAUAUAUAUAUACAUGUAUAGAUAUAUAUAUGUAAAUGGAAGACUCUGUUCCAAAAUAUUAACAAGUGGUAUGUCUGA
rnacentral:lncRNA from 10 species